rnacentral:rRNA from 1 species
GAUGAACGCUGGCGGCGUGCCUAAUACAUGCAAGUCGAGCGAACGAACGAGAAGCUUUCUUCUCUUCUGUUGGCGACGGGCGGGUGAGUCACACGAGUCUAACCUACCUGUAAGACUGAGGUAACUACGCGAGACCUGAGAUCGUACAGGACCAUAUUGUGAACCGCAUGGUUCAACAGAGCUCGCCGUUCUUGAUGUCCCUAAUAGAUGUCUCCGCGAUGGAUUAGCUAGUUGGUACGGUAACGGCUUACCAAGGCAACGAUGCAUAGCCGACCUGAGAGGAUGAUCAGCCACACGGGAACUGAGACACGGUCCAGACUCCUACGGGAGGCAGCAGUAGGGAAUCUUCGGCAAUGGGCGAAAGCCUGAACGAGCAACGCCGCGUGAGUGAUGAAGGUCUUCGGAUCGUAAAACUCUGUUAGUUGGGAAGAAGAGAUGUGUGAUAAUAUGUUGAUAUCUUGACGGUACCUAAAGAGAAAGCCACGGCUAACUACGUG